rnacentral:lncRNA from 1 species
UGAUUUCAGCGUGCAUAAGAUUUAUUUAAUGAUUAAAAAGCUGAAACUUAAAAUUUAUUUAAUAACUAUGAAGUGAGAUGAUAAUGAUAGUAAUUAAAUAAAUUAAUAAAAAAAGAAGACCCACUCAUCGCUAUUGAUGGCAAUGAAACAGGAACGGAGGAACUUGGGAAGAGGUGGGUUGCAUCUUUUAUGCGAAAGAAGGAUUCACCU